GUGUUAGUAUGGAACACCAGGCAUGCACACCAGAUUCUAAUUGUAUUUUCUUUUCUCUCCCUUCCCAUAUGCAUUGGUGAAGCUUCUUGAAGGGUAUGAACAACAAAGGAGAAAUCUUACACCAAGAAGCCAGCAACUGUUGGACAGCCCUGUACUGCGCAGUUAUGAUGAAUAUGAAACAGCAGAUGAUGUGACUGAUGUGGAAUCUGAAGUGACUGACGUAGAGUCUGAAGUGACUGAUGUAGAAUCUGAAGUGACUGAUGCAGAGUCUGAAGUGACUGAUGCAGAGUCUGAAGUGAUUGACAUAGAGUAUGCAGUGGCUGACACAGAGUAUGCACCGGCUGAUGUAGCGCCUGAAGUACGGAGAUCAUUGGACGAGGAACCUGCAAUUUCAGAGGAAUGGCAACGAGCUGUAAGGUGCCCGAUCUGCAUGGAUUUUUUUUCACAGAUUAUACGAAGUGUCCGACAGGUUGUGUCAACCCAGUGUGGCCAUCUCUUCUGCAGUCGGUGCAUCGCUGUUGCCCUUGAGAAUUCCAGGGCUUGCCCAACCUGCAGAACAGAACUCCCUCCCAGAGACUAUCAUCCCGUUUAUUUCUGAGUAUUUCUGUUUCUCAGGACAGAAGUAUC